UGCACUCUCUUCAGUUAUGCUCACGAAUCCAAAGAGAGAAGUGCACUUGGAAUGAUGGGCUGGAUUUGGAGAAAGGCAUGGUUUCCAUAGUCUCAUGCUGCUCUCAGGAGAGAAAAAGACACACGAGAUGAACACAGAAGGGAGAAGGUCUUGUGACGAUGGAGUCAAAGAGUGGAGGGAAGGGGCUAUAAGCCAAGGAACCCCAAGGAUUGCUGGAGCUGUCAGAAGUGAGGAGAAGAGGAAGGAUUCUUCCUUAGAGCCUUCAAAGGGAACAUGGCCCUGCUGACACCUUGAUUUCAGACUUAUAGCCUCCAGAACUAUGACAGAGUAAACCUCUGUUGUUUUAAGCCACCAAGUUUGUGACAAUUUGCUCUGACAUCCCCUUGUAUAGGAAACAAAUAUAUACAAUCUUCUGUAAAAUAAAAACUAUCUUCAACAUUGCUCA